GUGGGGAAUCUUGCACAAUGGAGGAAACUCUGAUGCAGCGACGCCGCGUGAACGAUGAAGCCCCUCGGGGUGUAAAGUUCUUUCGGCAGGGACGAUAAUGACGGUACCUGAAGAAGAAGCUGCGGCUAACUACGUGCCAGCAGCCGCGGUAAUACGUAGGCAGCGAGCGUUGUUCGGAAUUACUGGGCGUAAAGAGUCUGUAGGCGGUGCUCUAAGUUCGGUGUGAAAUCUCCUGGCUCAACUGGGAGGGUGCGCCGGAAACUGGAGUGCUUGAACGUGGGAGAGGAAAGCGGAAUUCCUGGUGUAGCGGUGAAAUGCGUAGAUAUCAGGAGGAACACCUGUGGUGUAGACGGCUUUCUGGACCAUUGUUGACGCUGAGAGACGAAAGCGUGGGUAGCAAACAGG
rnacentral:rRNA from 1 species